rnacentral:rRNA from 1 species
GAUGAACGCUGGCGGCGUGCCUAAUACAUGCAAGUCGAGCGAACAGACGAGGAGCUUGCUCCUCUGACGUUAGCGGCGGACGGGUGAGUAACACGUGGAUAACCUACCUAUAAGACUGGGAUAACUUCGGGAAACCGGAGCUAAUACCGGAUAAUAUAUUGAACCGCAUGGUUCAAUAGUGAAAGACGGUUUUGCUGUCACUUAUAGAUGUAUCCGCGCCGCAUUAGCUAGUUGGUAAGGUAACGGCUUACCAAGGCAACGAUGCGUAGCCGACCUGAGAGGGUGAUCGGCCACACUGGAACUGAGACACGGUCCAGACUCCUACGGGAGGCAGCAGUAGGGAAUAUUCCGCAAUGGGCGAAAGCCUGACGGAGCAACGCCGCGUGAGUGAUGAAGGUCUUCGGAUCGUAAAACUCUGUUAUUAGGGAAGAACAAAUGUGUAAGUAACUAUGCACGUCUUGACGGUACCUACUCAGAAAGCCACGGCUAACUACGUG